GAUGAACGCUGGCUACAGGCUUAACACAUGCAAGUCGAGGGGAAACGACGGGGAAGCUUGCUUCCCCGGGCGCCGACCGGCGCACGGGUGAGUAACGCGUAUCCAACCUGCCUCUGACUGAGGGAUAACCCGUCGAAAGUCGGCCUAAUACCUCAUGGCAUCGUCUGCGGGCAUCCAACGACGAUUAAAGAUUUCAUCGGUCAGGGAUGGGGAUGCGUCUGAUUAGCUUGUUGGCGGGGUAACGGCCCACCAAGGCUACGAUCAGUAGGGGUUCUGAGAGGAAGGUCCCCCACAUUGGAACUGAGACACGGUCCAAACUCCUACGGGAGGCAGCAGUGAGGAAUAUUGGUCAAUGGGCGGGAGCCUGAACCAGCCAAGUAGCGUGCAGGAUGACGGCCCUAUGGGUUGUAAACUGCUUUUAUGCGGGGAUAAAGUGAGGGACGUGUCCUUCAUUGCAGGUACCGCAUGAAUAAGGACCGGCUAAUUCCGUG
rnacentral:rRNA from 1 species